rnacentral:rRNA from 1 species
GAUGAACGCUGGCGGCGUGCCUAAUACAUGCAAGUCGGACGCAAUGCUUCGGCAUUGAGUGGCGAACGGGUGAGUAAUACAUAAGCAACCUGCCCCUGUGAGGGGGAUAACUGCUGGAAACGGCAGCUAAGACCGCAUAGGCAUACAUGACGCAUGUCGAGUAUGUUAAAUAUCCUACGGGAUAGCACAGGGAUGGGCUUAUGACGCAUUAGCUAGCUGGUGAGGUAGAGGCUCACCAGGGCGACGAUGCGUAGCCGACCUGAGAGGGUGACCGGCCACAUUGGGACUGAGACACGGCCCAA